rnacentral:guide_RNA from 1 species
AGAGGGCAGUUAUAACCCUCAUAUAAGGCAGUAAAU